GGCAAUGUGGCUUAGUGGUAGAGUGCUUGCCUAGCAUGCAUGAGGUCCUGGGUUCAAUAUCUCAGCACCA
rnacentral:tRNA from 1 species